rnacentral:lncRNA from 1 species
AAAAUCAUAUGAAAAAAAACUAGACAUUUAAACAAACAUGUGGAAAAAAAUUGGAAUUAAAUUGAAGCAUUUUACAAUUUUUUAUGGAUAUUUGAAGUUGCAUGAAAUAAUAUGAAAUAAGCAUGAAAAUGAGAGGGAAAUACCAAUUCAAACAAAAUCAGCAUAUGCACAUCAACAGGAUUCGAACACACGCUCUAAGGUUGAUAAAAGAAUAUCAAUGGAAAUUCAAAAUAUGCAAUACGCCAG